rnacentral:misc_RNA from 1 species
UCCGGGGUUUCCCCGGCAGUCCCCCAUGAGUGCUCGGCAUUACCCGGUGGCAACAUAGGGCGAGGGUUGCGCUCGUUGCGGGACUUAACCCAACACCUCACGGCACGAGCUGACGACGGCCAUGCAACACCUGUCCUGGGUCCGAAUGGAUACGGUCGGACACGCUUUCACGCGCCUACAUCCAGAAUGUCAAGCCUAGGUAAGGUUCUUCGCUUUGCAUCGAAUUAAGCAACGCGCUCCGCCACUUGUGCGGGCCCCCGUCAAUUCCUUUGAGUUUUAACCUUGCGGUCGUACUCCCCAGGCGGCGAACUUAAUGCGUUAGCUUCGGCACGGAAGCCGUAAGGCCCCCACACCUAGUUCGCACCGUUUACAGCCAGGACUAC